rnacentral:lncRNA from 1 species
UCCCCUCCUGGACAGGGAGCACCACCUCUUGCACCGCCCGUCCCAGUCUGCGAGCUGGGCGACCCGCGGUGCCAGGGCGAGCGGAGCACGCGCUUUUCCCAGCCCCUUAAGCGAAUGAUGUUUCUUUAGUCUGGACGCGUACAGUACUGGGCAGUGGGGUCGGAGAUAAAGAAGCGGCCGCCGGCCACGCGCAGGGCCGCGGCUCUGGCCGCAAAGUGAGGCCGAGAGCGCAGGAAGAGCACGGGUGUGAGCCGCGCCCGUCGGGCCGGGUUCCUGCGCGUCCCGUUCCGCCCUCGGAUCCCAGCGAGCAGCCGCGAGGCAGGACUCAGGGACCGCCCGGGCGGACCUCCUGGAACGUCGGCCUCCUCACCUGCGGGGAGCCCCGACACCUGCGCCGUCUCCUUGCGGAGCCCUGGGUCUCUUGGGCAGUCAGUCGCCUACUGGAAGCUCAGGAACCUCAUCUUAGGCGAGGAAUCUUGAACGCACCACAACCAACCACAAAGAGAAAACAGCCCCCACCCACUCCUGUCUGGCACAUUUUCCUCUUUGUUUAAUUAUGUUGACUUCCAGAAUUCUCUUUUUGGGAGAAGCCUACCCUCCCCCAGACAAAACCUUUCCUUCUGUUAUCCUCAGGGAUCUGCGUGGAAAAUAAUGAAAAGUCAGUACUUUGAGACAAUUCCAUUCUGUUGCCUCUCGAAAAUGCUCCAGGUUAUAGGGUAAAUCAACCAAGAUAGAAUUUUUGACUUCGAAAUAACACCCAAUACUCCGCUUACUAAUCAGAGCUAUUAAAACAUUACCGA